rnacentral:lncRNA from 1 species
UUCUCAAAAUUUACAAUAUAAUUACUUAUUUGUCCAAACAUAGUAUGAUUUGAUAGUCUCUACUUAUGUGGGGUACAAUAUAUCAUCUAGAAUACAGUGUUUAUGUACAGUUAUAUUCCUCUCUACAUAAAAGUAAAGCAUGCAUCUAGUCAAAACACUGUUUUCUUCCUAUACUUUUUCAUGUGAUUAUGUCAUGUAUUUGUAAUAUAAAUAAGGAAUAGAGAAAACCAAAAGCAAAGUGACAGACACAAAUUUAAGCUGAACAAACAUGAAAAUUCCAUAUGUUAAAUAUGUUGGAUAUAGUUAAAGCACUUAGAGGGCAAUUUUACAAAUUUCUUUUAAAGAAAAAUCAGCAAUCAGCAAUCUCAUCAACAACCUAAGCUUCUUUAUAAAAAUGAAGAAUAAAUAGUUUCUGGUUCCUCAUAUAAUGUGCCUUAUUUUUUGUCUACUUUCAUUAUCUUCCCUGCAUCAUUGAUUUUUAGCGCUUUGUAUAUAAUAUGCCUAGUUUUAAAAAAAUCAUUCUUUGUGUUUUAUGAAUUUCUUUGGUAUAUGGUUUUGUGUUUGUCAUUAAUCCUGGCCACUUCUCUGGCAUUAUUUCUUCCACUAUUUCUUCUGUCCUGUUCUCUUUUCAUUCUCUCUCAAGGCUUUCUGUUACUCAUAUAUCAAAACUUUUGAUAUUGUCCUACACUUCAUGGUAGCUCUGUUCUGUAUUUUAGUUUUUGUUGUUGUUGCUGUGUUCCUCUUUUCUCUUUCUCCUUCAGUUUGAGUAAUUUCUGUUGAACAGUCUUCAAGCUCACUGAUUCCCUCUUUGGCUAUAUUUAUUCUAUUGAUAAGACUCAACGACACUUUUCAUGUAUCUUAGUGUCUUUUUAAUACCUAGCAUUCUUUCUCAAUUUUCAUUCAUUCAGACUUUUGUAUUCUUAGCUUCAAUUCCAGUGAUAAAUCCUAAGUUCUUUUUAACUAGCAUUCUUUCUCAAUUUUCAUGCAUAUUUAGCAGAGCAAUUUAGAGAUAGAACAAGCCACAGACUAGGAAAGUAAGAAGGGAUUGUAAUUCUAAUUCUGCAGUUAUCUUGCUGGCUGAUUGAGGGGGACUAACCUUACCCAUUUUUGAAUAAUGGUAUUAUACAAGAUGAUAUUUAAGGAAACUUCUACAUUGGGAUGUUAGAAAACUUAACAAUGUUGUUAUUUUACUGAGUAAGGGCAAGUUUGAAAUUCGGGUAACAGAAAAUAAUUGUUUUAGUUGAUCAUUUGUUGUGGUUAAAGGCUUAUUAACAUACAUGAACCUAUGCUAUACUGCAUGCUUACACCAAGAUGACUGCUAGAAAACAUUCCAGAGAUACUUCCACACUUCACAACAUCAAGUCAGAAAGUUCAGGCUGAUGGGAUUUUCUUUUCUUUUCUUUCUUUUUCUUUUUUUUUUUUUUUUUUGAGAUGGGAGUUUUGCUUUUGUUGCCUAGGCUGGAGUGCAAUGGGGCAAUCUUGGCUCACCAUAACCUC